AAAGUCUUCAAACCAAGUAGAUAUUCCUAUGCAGAUAAUAAGAGGUGUUAGAGCAGGAUUUCUUUCAGGAAGAAAUAUCUCCACAAGUUCUUGACUGAAGUCCAAACACUUCCUUGGUUGAAAAGAACUCUGGAUCGCGUUUCCGAGAAUGAACGAUGGAAAUGGGGUGAAUACCUGCAAAAGCCACUCCAACGCUCAAGUCAGCGUUUGUGUAGCGAACUCUUAGUGCUCAAUUGAAUUUCUCAUCCUCCACUCCCCGAUCAUGGGAUGAUCAGACUAUGUCUUACAUGCUUCACACUUCUUUGGUGGGAGGGAAGCUCGACUGCUCCACGUCUUUUAAUCAUGGCAUACGGGUUAGGUCAUGCUGCGUGGGAUUUAGUCCCCACAGGGCUAGGUCAUGCUACGUGGGUUUUGGUCCCCACAAUGCCCCCCUUUUUCUCUCUCUACACGCUUCAUUGGUAGAGGGAAAAAUAAUUUGGUUUAGAUUUGAAUUCCUCCAGAUUGAGCCUAUAAUGUCUUGAGGGGUUCAUGGCUGAAACCGAACGAACAAUUCGUCUUCCUCGCUUGGACUUGCUAAGUCCGAAUAAACAACUAUAUUAUUGCCAAACCCACUCAAAUAUGGGCCUACACGCUGCAGAGUGCAAACCCACAGCCAAUCCCCUUGUUGCAUGCCCAACGCCAACUCGCAUGGAGUGGACCCUUGGGAGUUUUGCAUUUCAGCCGAUCCCGUGAUCCCCAAAUGAGCUUUCUCCUUGUGCUUCAAAUGAUGUGGGGGGGCCAUGCUCUCUGCUCUUCUCUUUGCUAGCCGAUCCCAAAUUGGGUUUCUUCUUGCGCUUGAGCUGACCACGUGAACCCCAGCGCCUUUGGUCUUUCACUUUGCUCUUUCAACCGACACCGAAUGACCUACAAGUUUAGAAUUUUUCUUUUUGGGUGUGCUUGCACUUUAAUUGACCCCUUGGACCCCAGUGCCUUUGGUUUUUCAGUUGAUUCCAGGUGGUCCAUGACUUGGGUUUAUUUGUUCGUUUGUGUUUUUUUUUUUUUGGUCUGCUGGCCAAACCCAAGUAAAUAAUGCCUCUCAUCCAUGCACGCUGCUUUUUCAUGCACCCUUGUCCUUGCCCUUAUCUUCACAUACAACGCUUUAUAUCAUGCACUUUGGCUUAUACUAUGCAAUCCGGUGGGCCCCAAGAGAAAUCUUGAAUUUUUCUCUUGGCUUUUUAACCAACCUGGUGGACCCCAGCUCCUUUAGAUUUUUCCCUCUCACUUUAGCCGAUCCCAGGUGGUCUAUAAC
rnacentral:lncRNA from 1 species